rnacentral:lncRNA from 1 species
UCCGUGAUAAAGGCUCAUUCUUAAUACACAUGUGAUCCACACAUUGCCCUUUUUCUAUUCCCAACAUUUACCUCCACACAUUGCACCUUUUUCUAUUCUCACCAGAGGUAAAUGUUUUUGCAUAAUAACACAUCUCAUCGUCUUCCUUCUCUCACUUUCAGUGGUAAAUUAAAUCUCCUCUGUUUUAUUUACUUCUUCCUUCAAGUUCACAAGUUUCCUUCCAUGGGCCCAUGCUUCACUGGUAAGUGUUUGAUUACCAUCAAGUAUGACUGCAUGUGUGUGGAGUAUGAAGCCCUUAUAUUUUGUAUAUCUUUUUACCCGUCAAUGUUUCGGACGUUAAUAAAUGGUUUUCUCUUUUCUUCCCUCUUAUAUAGGGUUUUUUUGUUCUACAUAUGAUGAUCGACCUUUGAAAAUUGAUAGCCAAAGGAAUAUUAUAUCGUGUGUAUCCAUUAAUUAUCCUAAGCACUGCUGAGGUGAAUACCCUUUUUAUCGUAAC